GGAAAAGAAACUAACAAGGGAUUCCCCUAGUAACUGCGAGUGAAGCGGGAAAAGCUCAAAUUUAAAAUCUGGCAGUCUUUGGCUGUCCGAGUUGUAAUCUAGAGAAGUGUUACCCGCGCUGGACCGUGUACAAGUCUCCUGGAAUGGAGCGUCAUAGAGGGUGAGAAUCCCGUCUCUGACACGGACUACCAGGGCUUUGUGGUAUGCUCUCAAAGAGUCGAGUUGUUUGGGAAUGCAGCUCAAAAUGGGUGGUAAAUUCCAUCUAAAGCUAAAUAUUGGCGAGAGACCGAUAGCGAACAAGUACCGUGAGGGAAAGAUGAAAAGAACUUUGGAAAGAGAGUUAAACAGUACGUGAAAUUGCUGAAAGGGAAACGCUUGAAGUCAGUCGCGUUGGCCAGGGAUCAGCCUCGCUCCUGCGUGGUGUACUUUCUGGUUGACGGGUCAGCAUCAAUUUUGACCGCUGGAAAAAGGCUUAGGGAAUGUGGCAGCUUCGGCUGUGUUAUAGCCCUUUGUCAUAUACAGCGGUUGGGAUUGAGGAACUCAGCACGCCGCAAGGCCGGGUUUCGACCACGUUCGUGCUUAGGAUGCUGGCAUAAUGGCUUUAAGCGACCCGUCUUGAAACACGGACCAAGGAGUCUAACAUGCCUGCGAGUGUUUGGGUGGAAAACCCGAGCGCGUAAUGAAAGUGAAAGUUGAGAUCCCUGUCGUGGGGAGCAUCGACGCCCGGACCAGAACUUUUGGGACGGAUCCGCGGUAGAGCAUGUAUGUUGGGACCCGAAAGAUGGUGAACUAUGCCUGAAUAGGGUGAAGCCAGAGGAAACUCUGGUGGAGGCUCGUAGCGAUUCUGACGUGCAAAUCGAUCGUCAAAUUUGGGUAUAGGGGCGAAAGACUAAUCGAACCAUCUAGUAGCUGGU
rnacentral:rRNA from 1 species